rnacentral:rRNA from 1 species
CCUACGGGAGGCAGCAGUCGAGAAUUAUUCACAAUGGGGGAAACCCUGAUGGUGCGACGCCGCGUGGGGGAAUGAAGGUCUUCGGAUUGUAAACCCCUGUCAUGUGGGAGCAAAUUAAAAAGAUAGUACCACAAGAGGAAGAGACGGCUAACUCUGUGCCAGCAGCCGCGGUAAUACAGAGGUCUCAAGCGUCGUUCGGAAUCACUGGGCGUAAGGCGUGCGUAGGCUGUUUCGUAAGUCGUGUGUGAAUGGCGCGGGCUCAACCCGCGGACGGCACAUGAUACUGCGAGACUAGAGUAAUGGAGGGGGAACCGGAAUUCUCGGUGUAGCAGUGAAAUGCGUAGAUAUCGAGAGGAACACUCGUGGCGAAGGCGGGUUCCUGGACAUUAACUGACGCUGAGGCACGAAGGCCAGGGGAGCGAAAGGGAUUAGAUACCCGAGUAGUC